UGCAGUCGAGCGGAGUGAUGGUAGCUUGCUCCCUGAUGUCAGCGGCGGACGGGUGAGUAACACGUGGGCAACCUGCCUGUAAGACUGGUAUAACUUCGGGAAACCGGAGCUAAUACCGGAUAACACCGAGGACCACAUGGUCCUUGGUUGAAAGAUGGUUUCGGCUAUCACUUACAGAUGGGAUUGCGGCGCAUUAGCUAGUUGGUGAGGUUUGGCUCACCAAGGCCACGAUGCGUAGCCGACCUGAGAGGGUGAUCGGCCACACUGGGACUGACACACG
rnacentral:rRNA from 1 species